GGAGGUUUAGCUCAAUGGAUGAGCGUAUGUUUAGCAUGCAUCGGUCCUGGGUUCAAUCCCCAGUUCCUCCA
rnacentral:tRNA from 1 species